AGUACUGCCUGUUUCUAGGCUUGUGGAGAACAGUGCAAAUAUUCCAGAGAACCCCAGAGGUCCCUAAGGGAUCCAGAAAGGAUUUUUAUUUGACAGCAAGGAGAAAUUCCCAGCUGAAGAUUUCUAAAUGCUGAUCUGUUUUAAUUAAGAAAUCUUCUAAGAUGUUAUUGGAAAUGAAACCAGAACUCGAAGCACCGGGACAUACCUCAACAGCAUUGUCAUGCCCGGGGCUUCAGUUUCUCUGCGUCACCCUCACGGUGGACUGUAAUAAGGUCGGCAACUUCGUCUUAUUCCUUCUCAGUACUCCCAGUACCUAGCACUGUGCCAGGAAUACGCUCAGCGAAUCCUGCUGUGCAAUCAUGAUGCUGCAAGUCACCCUGGACCUGUGACUUUUCUUAUUCCUCUGCUCCCUAUAUGCCAACAGCCUCUGUCCUCGGUCAGGACCCUCAUCAUCUCUCCUGGAAACUGCCAUAGUCUCCUUGCCUCCACACUUAUCUCAUCCAGCUCAUCUUCCACGCUGCCGGCAGAGCCAUCUCCCCAAGUUGCAGAUCUGACCAUGUUCCUCCCCCAUAUUCUCCAUCCCCUCUACCAGCAGUUCUCAGUAUGAGACCCCCAAGACACUUUCAGGAAGUCCACAAAGUCAGAACUAUUUUCAUCAUAAUAGUAAGACAUUAUUUACCCUUUUCACUGUGUUGACGUUUGCACUGAUGGGGCAAAAGCGAUGGUGGGUAAAACAGCAGGUGGCUUAGCACAGAUUAAGGCCACGGCACUAAAUGGUACUAUGUACUAGUAGUUGUAUUCUUAACACUAUGCACUCCCAGAAAGGAGAAAAGCCAGUUUAUUUAAUGUCCCUGAUGAAGCAAUAAAAAUAUUAAUUUUAUUAAUCUCA